UAAUCUACUUCCUAGUAGUGGGCAGGUUUGAACCCGGGACCAUGGAUAAGUCCGAACGACAGUCCAGCGCGCAAACCGCAGACCAGGCAGCCAUCUUACUUGAUGCAUUAUUCAAAGAAAUAAAUGAGAAAUUUGCUAAUGCCUUGGUUUAUUUUUAGUUAAUAGUUUAGAUAAAUCAAUAAUUAAUCUCAGAAUUAAUGAUAAAUAAGAACCUGAACAAAAAUUGUUAAGAUUCAUAAAAAAUGUCCCAAACUUUUUCCUCAACUAAACAUUUCACACAUUCUGAGUCUUUAGCAGAGCACUUUGCUUAUUUUUCUAGAGAGGUUAAUUCACAUGGUGGCCUUUUAGUUAAUUAUCCCAUCUAUUCAGGCCUCAUGGAACACAAGGGCUCUGCGGAACACAGUUUGGGAAACACUGACCUAGACAAAUACAACUUUUUAUGUUUUAGUAACAAGUGGUCAACAUGUAAAUAUAAAAGUAAAACUACUGCACUAUCAUGUUAGCUCAAGCACUAGAUAGUGAACAGAAUAAAAAAACAAAGAUGUGAUCUUGAGAUAGUGAAGAUAAUACUGUGACAUGAUCAACAAAUAAACAAAGUGCAAAACUGUGUGCCCCACUGCAAGUCAACAGAAAUGCACAUAUUUUUUUU